GUGUGUGUCAGGGUGCGUGUAUCGUGGGUGCUACUGUGGAUAGGAAGCAGGAGAGUAGAGAGGUCAAAGUGUGGCUGAAGUCUUGGUGUAGGAAGAAGGGUUUGGGGGUUAUAGAGCAAUGGGAUUAUUUGUGCUUGAGUACAAUCUUUAUAGCCGUGAUGGAUUGCACCUAGAUGGAAGAGGGCUAGAAGUUUGGAGGUUUUAUCAUUAGGAAUAGAA